rnacentral:rRNA from 1 species
GACGAACGCUGGCGGCGUGCUUAACACAUGCAAGUCGAACGGAAAGGCCCUGCCUUUGUGGGGUGCUCGAGUGGCGAACGGGUGAGUAACACGUGAGUAACCUGCCCUUGACUCUGGGAUAACUUCAGGAAACUGCGGCUAAUACCGGAUAGGAGAUCCUCCUGCAUGGUGGGGGUUGGAAAGGUUCGUCGGUUGGGGAUGGACUCGCGGCCUAUCAGCUUGUUGGUGGGGUAGUGGCUUACCAAGGCUUUGACGGGUAGCCGGCCUGAGAGGGUGACCGGCCACAUUGGGACUGAGAUACGGCCCAGACUCCUACGGGAGGCAGCAGUGGGGAAUAUUGCACAAUGGGCGGAAGCCUGAUGCAGCAACGCCGCGUGCGGGAUGACGGCCUUCGGGUUGUAAACCGCUUUCGCCUGUGACGAAGCGUGAGUGACGGUAAUGGGUAAAGAAGCACCGGCUAACUACGUG